AGGGUGUAAACGCUGCAGACUUGGUGUCGGAGGCCCUUUGGGGGCAUUCAGUGCCGGAGAGAAGUUGUUAAGUCUGCUACUUGGGGAGUACGUCCGCAAGGAUGAAACUUAAAGGAAUUGGCGGGGGAGCACCGCAACGGGAGGAGCGUGCGGUUUAAUUGGAUUCAACACCGUAAAACUCACCAGGGAAGACUGUUACAUGAAGGCCGAGAUGAAGACUCUGCUAGAUUUUCAGAGAGGAGGUGCAUGGCGUCAGUGACU
rnacentral:rRNA from 1 species